rnacentral:rRNA from 1 species
GAUGAACGCUGGCGGCGUGCCUAAUACAUGCAAGUCGAGCGAACGGACGAGAAGCUUGCUUUUCUGAUGUUAGCGGCGGACGGGUGAGUAACACGUGGAUAACCUACCUAUAAGACUGGGAUAACUUCGGGAAACCGGAGCUAAUACCGGAUAAUAUUUUGAACCGCAUGGUUCAAAAGUGAAAGACGGUCUUGCUGUCACUUAUAGAUGGAUCCGCGCUGCAUUAGCUAGUUGAUAAGGUAACGGCUUACCGAGGCAACGAUGCAUAGCCGACCUGAGAGGGUGAUCGGCCACACUGGAACUGAGACACGGUCCAGACUCCUACGGGAGGCAGCAGUAGGGAAUCUUCCGCAAUGGGUGAAAGCCUGACGGUGCAACGCCGCGUGAGUGAUGAAGGUCUUCGGAUCGUAAAACUCUGUUAUUAGGGAAGAACAUAUGUGUAAGUAACUGUGCACAUCUUGACGGUACCUAAUCAGAAAGCCACGGCUAACUACGUG